AGCAGCUAAAUAUUUCAUCACUGCGAGCAAGUUUUCAAGUUGCCAAGCUAAUAGCGUGCACUGGCAGACCAUUUGUGGAGGGAGAAUUUGUUAAAGAAUGCCUUCUUUCUGUUGCCAAAGAGAUGUGUCCAGAGAAGGCCAAUUUAUUUAGUACAGUUAGUCUUUCAGGACCUACAAUUACAAAGGAUUGAAGAAAUGGGAGACAAUUUGCAUCAGCAUUUGCAAAAUUCCGCAAAAAAACUUUCCUAUUUUUCUUAGUACUCGACAAAAGUAAUGAUGUUCGUGAUUCUGCACAACUCCUAAUUUUUAUUCAUGGGACGAA
rnacentral:lncRNA from 1 species